rnacentral:rRNA from 1 species
GACGAACGCUGGCGGCGUGCUUAACACAUGCAAGUCGAACGGAAAGGCCCUGCUUUUGUGGGGUGCUCGAGUGGCGAACGGGUGAGUAACACGUGAGUAACCUGCCCUUGACUUUGGGAUAACUCCAGGAAACUGGGGCUAUUACCGCAUAGGAGCUCCUGCUGCAUGGUGGGGGUUGGAAAGUUUCGGCGGUUGGGGAUGGACUCGCGGCUUAUGAGCUUGUUGGUGGAGUAGGGGCUUACCAAGGCUUUGACGGGUAGCCGACCUGAGAGGGUGACCGGCGACAUUGGGACUGAGGGACGGCCCAGACUCCUACGGGAGGCAGCGGUGGGGAGUAUUGCACAAUGGGCGGGAGCCUGAUGCAGCAACGCCGCGUGCGGGAUGACGGCCUUCGGGUUGUGAACCGCUUUCGCCUGUGACGAAGCGUGAGUGACGGUAAUGGGUAAAGAAGCACCGGCUAACUACGUG